UAAAGUAAAUUCAAAACUUGAUUUAAUCUAAACCAAAUCAAUCCAAGUGCUCUUAAAAUUCAGAGACAAGUUCUUCUACUCAAUACCAAGUAUACUUGACAAUAUUUACACCUGAUUUCAAACGUAAAAAUUUGAGUUCUAUUCAAACCCACUGCUCAAUAAUGGUGGUUUCAGUUUUUCGCUCUUAUUCGUUUUCCAACAGCAAUUAAGCAUUAGGAACAAUUUAGCCCCUUAAUUCCAGCUUCAAAUCACACUGAGAAUCUCUAAAUCUUCUUAUCCAGCACUGCCAUUUGUUUUAAAAAGGACUAAAAUUUCAUAAUCACUUCCUCCACCGGACAUGCCAAGGCUUCAAUUGAUAAGCAACCAAGACAACAAAUAUCAAAGACACCGCCUCCUCUGCCUCCCCCCCCC
rnacentral:lncRNA from 1 species